rnacentral:antisense_RNA from 1 species
AUGGCUUAUGUUUAAGAAAGUCCAUGGCCGGGCGCCGGUGGCUUAUGCCUGUAAUCCCAGCCCUUUGGGAGGCCGAGGCGGGUGGAUCACGAAGUCAAGAGAUAGAGACCAUCCUGGCCAACAUUGUGAAACCCCAUCUCUACUAAAAAUACAAAACUUAGCUGGGCAUGGUGGCGUGUGCCUGUAAUCCCAGGUACUUGGGAGGCUGAGGCAGGAGAAUUGCUUGAACCCAGGAGGCAUAGAUUGCAGUGAGCCAAGAUUGCACCACUGCACUACAGCCUGGGUGACAGUGCAAGACUCUGUCUCAAAAAAAAAAAAAAAAAAAGGUCCUGAAGAAUGCAGUAGCAUAGAAGGGCGGUAGAGCAAAGGUGGUGAGAAAUAGGAGCUCCCUGCACGGAACAGGGGGGCUCUCCUGUCUAUUAACCAUCAGACAGGCAGAUCGCGUUAGUACCACAGAGCCGUCAUAGAGGAAGCCACAGGGUUGUCUAGUUGCGCAAAGGAGGCUCCUA